rnacentral:rRNA from 1 species
CAAUAGCGUAUAUUAAAGUUGUUGCAGUUAAAAAGCUCGUAGUUGGAUUUGUGGCGUACGGUGUGUUCCGGGCACUUGUUGUCUGGGUAACCUGCUGUUGCCAUCCUUGGGUGGAACCUGUGUGGCAUUAGGUUGUCGUGCAGGGGAUGCCCAUCAUUUACUGUGAAAAAAUUAGAGUGUUCAAAGCAGGCUUAUGCCGUUGAAUAUAUUAGCAUGGAAUAAUGAGAUAGGACUUUUUUGCUAUUUUGUUAGUUUGCGCAAAGAGGUAAUGAUUAAUAGGGACAGUUGGGGGUAUUCGUAUUCCAUUGUCAGAGGUGAAAUUCUUGGAUUUUUGGAAGACGAACUACUGCGAAAGCAUUUACCAAGGACGUUUUCAUUAA